AACCUGCGGAAGGAUCAUUGUCGUGACCCUGACCAAAACAGACCGCGAACGUGUCAUCCAUGCCGCCGGGUGACGGGGCUUGCAACCGUCUCCCGGUACAGGCCAUYGACCUUCUUACGGAGGGGAGUGGCCUSAAAAGAACCCACGGCGCCGUAUGGCGUCAAGGAACACUCAUAUUGCCUUGCUCGGGGUUACGAUCGGCCUGCCGGUCAAGCCCCGUGCGGUGAUGCUUUGUUAAUCCAUAUGACUCUCGGCAACGGAUAUCUCGGCUCUCGCAUCGAUGAAGAACGUAGCAAAAUGCGAUACCUGGUGUGAAUUGCAGAAUCCCGUGAACCAUCAAGUUUUUGAACGCAAGUUGCGCCCGAGGCCUUCUGGUCGAGGGCACGUCUGCCUGGGCGUCACGCCAAAAGACACUCCCCACCCAUUCUCGGUGAGGACGUGGAGUCUGGCUCCUCGUGCUGCAGUGCACGGUGAGCCAAAGUUUGGGCUGCCGGCGGUGCCGACCACAGCACAAGGUGGAUGACUCAUGUCGUUCUCGGUGCUAUGACCUGCACUGCUACCGGCGAUGAUACGGCCCUCUGGACCCAUGGACCGAAGCGCAAAUUGCUCGGACCGCGACCCCAGGUCAGUCGGGAUUACCCGCUGAAUUUAA
rnacentral:rRNA from 1 species